GACGAACGCUUGCGGCGUGCUUAACACAUGCAAGUCGAACGGAAAGGCCCUGCUUUUGUGGGGUGCUCGAGUGGCGAACGGGUGAGUAACACGUGAGUAACCUGCCCUUGACUUUGGGAUAACUUCAGGAAACUGGGGCUAAUACCGGAUAGGAGCUCCUGCUGCAUGGUGGGGGUUGGAAAGUUUCGGCGGUUGGGGAUGGACUCGCGGCUUAUCAGCUUGUUGGUGGGGUAGUGGCUUACCAAGGCUUUGACGGGUAGCCGGCCUGAGAGGGUGACCGGCCACAUUGGGACUGAGAUACGGCCCAGACUCCUACGGGAGGCAGCAGUGGGGAAUAUUGCACAAUGGGCGGAAGCCUGAUGCAGCAACGCCGCGUGCGGGAUGACGGCCUUCGGGUUGUAAACCGCUUUCGCCUGUGACGAAGCGUGAGUGACGGUAAUGGGUAAAGAAGCACCGGCUAACUACGUGCCAGCAGCCGCGGUGAUACGUAGGGUGCGAGCGUUGUCCGGAUUUAUUGGGCGUAAAGGGCUCGUAGGUGGUUGAUCGCGUCGGAAGUGUAAUCUUGGGGCUUAACCCUGAGCGUGCUUUCGAUACGGGUUGACUUGAGGAAGGUAGGGGAGAAUGGAAUUCCUGGUGGAGCGGUGGAAUGCGCAGAUAUCAGGAGGAACACCAGUGGCGAAGGCGGUUCUCUGGGCCUUUCCUGACGCUGAGGAGCGAAAGCGUGGGGAGCGAACAGGCUUAGAUACCCUGGUAGUCCACGCUGUAAACGGUGGGUACUAGGUGUGGGGUCCAUUCCACGGGUUCCGUGCCGUAGCUAACGCUUUAAGUACCCCGCCUGGGGAGUACGGCCGCAAGGCUAAAACUCAAAGGAAUUGACGGGGCCCCGCACAAGCGGCGGAGCAUGCGGAUUAAUUCGAUGCAACGCGUAGAACCUUACCUGGGUUUGACAUGGAUCGGGAGUGCUCAGAGAUGGGUGUGCCUCUUUUGGGGUCGGUUCACAGGUGGUGCAUGCCUGUCGUCAGCUCGUGUCGUGAGAUGUUGGGUUAAGUCCCGCAACGAGCGCAACCCUUGUUCACUGUCGCCAGCACGUUAUGGUGGGGACUCAGUGGAGACCGCCGGGGUCAACUCGGAGGAAGGUGGGGAUGACGUCAAGUCCUCAUGCCCCUUAUGUCCAGGGCUUCACGCAUGCUACAAUGGCUGGUACAGAGAGUGGCGAGCCUGUGAGGGUGAGCGAAUCUCGGAAAGCCGGUCUCAGUUCGGAUUGGGGUCUGCAACUCGACCUCAUGAAGUCGGAGUCGCUAGUAAUCGCAGAUCAGCAACGCUGCGGUGAAUACGUUCCCGGG
rnacentral:rRNA from 1 species